rnacentral:rRNA from 1 species
GAUGAACGCUGGCGGUGUGCCUAAUACAUGCAAGUCGAGCGAACAGACGAGGAGCUUACUCCUCUGACGUUAGCGGCGGACGGGUGAGUAACACGUGGAUAACCUACCUAUAAGACUGGGAUAACUUCGGGAAACCGGAGCUAAUACCGGAUAACAUGUUGAACCGCAUGGUUCAACAGUGAAAGACGGUCUUGCUGUCACUUAUAGAUGGAUCCGCGUCGCAUUAGCUAGUUGGUAAGGUAACGGCUUACCAAGGCAGCGAUGCGUAGCCGACCUGAGAGGGUGAUCGGCCACACUGGAACUGAGACACGGUCCAGAAUCCUACGGGAGGCAGCAGUAGGGAAUCUCCCGCAAUGGGCGAAAGCCUGACGGAGCAACGCCGCGUGAGUGAAGAAGGUCUUCGGAUCGUAAAACUCUGUUAUUAGGGAAGAACAAAUGUGUAAGUAACUAUGCACGUCUUGACGGUACCUAAUCAGAAAGCCACGGCUAACUACGUG